rnacentral:rRNA from 1 species
AACGAACGCUGGCGGCAUGCCUAACACAUGCAAGUCGAACGAGACCUUCGGGUCUAGUGGCGCACGGGUGCGUAACGCGUGGGAACCUGCCCUUAGGUUCGGAAUAACUCCCCGAAAGGGGUGCUAAUACCGGAUAAUGUCUUCGGACCAAAGAUUUAUCGCCUUUGGAUGGGCCCGCGUUGGAUUAGCUAGUUGGUAGGGUAAAAGCCUACCAAGGCGACGAUCCAUAGCUGGUCUGAGAGGAUGAUCAGCCACACUGGGACUGAGACACGGCCCAGACUCCUACGGGAGGCAGCAGUGGGGAAUAUUGGACAAUGGGCGAAAGCCUGAUCCAGAAUGCCGCGUGAGUGAUGAAGGCCUUAGGGUUGUAAAGCUCUUUUACCCGGGAUGAUAAUGACAGUACCGGGAGAAUAAGCUCCGGCUAACUCCGUG